AAACUAAAAGCAGGGGGACUCAGCCUACUUGAAUAUCACUCUUUCGACAAACCAAUUCCUACUUUCAAAAAGACCAUGUAGCUGAUACCAGCAGUCCAUAAAAGUUGGUAGCCACUUACACGUUCGUAGGCUAUUAUUUACUAGAUGAAUUGGUGGCGAGCAGCAGCUUUCUCGGCAAAGACCAGGUUGCCAGCCAGGUAAAACAGAUACGGAAAAAGAGGCGGAGGCGCGUAUGUCACAUGGCGAUUAUCUAUUUAAAGGCUCCGUCCCUCCGCGUGCGCCAGACCCUUCCCAGUGUGGUCGCGCGCGCAUUGGCCGGAGCUGUUCUAACUACAGGGACCACAGCCAGCCAGACUCGCAGACCUAUGUGGGGCAGCGACCUCAAAAGGAAUUCUCAACGAAAUAAACGCCGGGGCGGCAACAAAUCUGUCACCCAGCAACAGGACCAUCCUCCUACCACCACCACCAAUCAGGCAUGGGUGUGAAGACGCUGCACUGUUUCCCCUGGCAACGGCGAUGUAGAGAACGUGGCACGAGACAUCGCCCCCUUCAGGCGGUGCUCCCCGGGGACACCCCAGUGUACCUGUCCCCCACGGCGGUCUGGUGCUCUCCAGGUGAGGGCAGGGCUGGUGACACCGCCACACACCGGGUGUACCUGCCGCACAAAGCCUGCGUUGCCCUCCGACACCAGAUGGAUUGUAACGUCAUCGACGAAACCAGCUGACUGCCCCCCCCCCCCC